ACCAGGCGUGGGGAGCCGAGCAGCGGAGCGCAUCGAUGGGCGCCCCUGCCCCCGAGCAGGUGUGCGGGGGAGGAAGAGCCCGGACCCCACCUGGCCGCCUGCGAGAGACCAGUCCCCAGGUCCCCAGCGGGUAGUCAGGGCCCACACGGAGGAGAGGGGAAGAGCAUAGCCUGCCUGAGCCCUGCGCAGUGUGUGUCUACCGUCUUCGUCCUCGCAGUCGCCCGUGUUGCCGAGAAGAACUGAGGCUCACGCGGGGGAACGUUCCGUGCCCACGGCCCCAUAGCUGCGAAGGACACAGGCAGGAUUGGCAACCAGGCCGUCUGGCUCCAGCGCACUGGAGAGCGCUCACUGCCAGGAAGGAAACCACGCUGUUCACGGCCAAUCUGCAGAGUGACGGGGUGGAAACGGACCCCAGUAUGUUUCUUCCAGAUGAAAUGGGUAACUCAUUCCACAGGAAGGGCUGCAUGUAUGCCCUUGGAGUGUGUGAAACUGACGACUGCACCGCCUUCCUCCCCCUGCCCUGCCAGGGAUAUCACGUGGCCUUGCAAAGGCCACCCAGCUGUUCGGGACAGAGCUGGGCCCCGCAUGCGUCACCCUGCACCCCUGGCCUGCUGACUUCCGAGGCCCCUGAGUGAGGUGGGGCUAUCUGGGGGCAAGAUAAGAAGAGCCAGCCUUCUAAGGAAGGGGGCUGCCUGGGCUCGGGGGGCUUCACCGCUUUCCUUCAAACUGCUGAAAACUUCAGAGGGCCAGAGCUCAGGCAGGCUGCAGAGACCCUCCGAAGUUUAUCGACGAGAGACGAAAGAGGAAAUUGUGGUAUCUUUAUCACCAGACAGCUAGGGCUGAGGGAGGUUUACUGA